GAUGAACGCUGGCGGCGUGCCUAAUACAUGCAAGUCGAGCGAACAGACGAGGAGCUUGCUCCUCUGACGUUAGCGGCGGACGGGUGAGUAACACGUGGAUAACCUACCUAUAAGACUGGGAUAACUUCGGGAAACCGGAGCUAAUACCGGAUAAUAUAUUGAACCGCAUGGUUCAAUAGUUAAAUACGGUUUUUCUGUCACUUAUAGAUGGAUCCGCGCCGCAUUAGCUAGUUGGUAAGGUAACGGCUUACCAAGGCAACGAUGCGUAGACGACCUGAGAGGGUGAUCGGCCACACUGGAACUGAGACACGGUCCAGACUCCUACGGGAGGAAGCAGUAGGGAAUCUUCCGCAAUGGGCGAAAGCCUGACGGAGCAACGCCGCGUGAGUGAUGAAGGUCUUCGGAUCGUAAAACUCUGUUAUUAGGGAAGAACAAAUGUGUAAGUAACUAUGCACGUAUUGACAGUACCUAAUCAGAAAGCCACGGCUAACUACGUG
rnacentral:rRNA from 1 species